rnacentral:rRNA from 1 species
ACAGAGUUCAUGCCCUUCGGGGUAGACCUCCCACCCUUUGUAUACAUUGCCUUUGUUGCUUUGGCGGGCCGCCUUUCGGCCACCGGCCCCAGCUGGUGCGCGCCCGCCAGAGAACCCCAAACCCUGUCUUACAGUGUCGUCCGAGUACUAUAUAAUAGUUAAAACUUUCAACAACGGAUCUCUUGGUUCUGGCAUCGAUGAAGGACGCAGCGAAAUGCGAUAAGUAAUGUGAAUUGCAGAAUUCAGUGAAUCAUCGAAUCUUUGAACGCACAUUGCGCCCGGUGGUAUUCCGCCGGGCAUGCCUGUUCGAGCGUCAUUUAAACCAAUCCAGCCUCGUGCUUGGGUCUUGGGCCUUUCGCCUCUGGGCGGGCCUCAAAAUCAGUGGCGGUGCCUUCUGGCUCUAAGCGUAGUAAUACUCCUCGCUAUAGAUGUCAGGUGGUGUCUUGCCAGUAACCCCUAAUUUUUAAAGGUUGACCUCGGAUCAGGUAGGGAUACCCGCUGAACUUAA